CUCAGAAGCCGGAAAACUCCUGCAAGGAUGCUCCAAGGACUACGGCAAAGUACUCGCUGUCACAAGCUGACACCCGUCAGCAGAUUGAAGUGCACCGGCCACCUCCACGUAUAUCCAACCCAGGUUCCAGGAAACCAAGCCAGGUGUCCAUACCGUCAACAGGUGCAGCCAAUGCCUGACA
rnacentral:lncRNA from 1 species